UACGUAGGGGGCUAGCGUUGUCCGGAAUCAUUGGGCGUAAAGAGCGUGUAGGCGGUCCGGUAAGUCCGCUGUGAAAGUCGGGGGCUCAACCCUCGAAUGCCGGUGGAUACUGUCGGGCUAGAGUGCGGAAGAGGCGAGUGGAAUUCCUGGUGUAGCGGUGAAAUGCGCAGAUAUCAGGAGGAACACCUAUUGCGAAGGCAGGUCUCUGGGCUGACACUGACGCUCAUGCACGAAAGCGUGGGGAGCAAACAGG
rnacentral:rRNA from 1 species